GAAAUAGUUUGAUAGCCAUGGCGUACCAAUUUUUUGAAUACAUCUUGAAGCAAAAUGCAGGCGCCCACAGCCGUGUUGGAUCCCUCGGUAUAUAAAAAUCGACAUACCAAAAAGUAUUAAUACGUAAGAUGCUAUUAACAUUCUACGUUUGAUACCAACAUUUUAACGUCCAAAAAGUUUAGUUAUUUAUUGUCAUAUACAUUUGACAGAUAAUAACAAUAAUGUUUAUUUUUAUAACAUACAAGGAUUCGCCGGAAUUAUCCGUUCGAAGAGCGUCAGAAACAGAUCUUUCCACUGAAAAAACGUUACUGGUUAAUCCUAUUUGUCCUGUCAGAAUUAUGUUGGAGUAUAUACGAAAGAAAUGCAGGUUUGGUAUAUUCACACAGUUUGAUUUAUGUGAUGAAUCUGGUGCAUUAAAAGGACUAUUCAAUAUGCCGACCUAUGCAUAUGCCACUGAUCAGUUCGAGCAUAAAAAGACAUAUUACCUCAUUGUAUUGAAAAUGGAAUUUGACAAAAAGAUAUCGGUUCUACCACAAUUAAACCGCGAGAAUGCCCGUUACGAAGACUUAAAGAGUAAGGUGACGAAUUUGAUGUCGGGCGAGAGUCCUAAUAGAUCUCCUCCACCGGCGCCGACUCCUUCAGGGAAGACUACACCAAUGUUGAAAGUUGGAGCUAAGAAGAAAUAACCAAUUCUUUCAAGAUUUUUCACGGUUAUGUAUAACUGAAACAAAUUUUAAACGUCUUCCGAAAACCCCAAAGUGGUGAUUAUGGGUUAUCGGCAACUAAAUCCAAUGAAUGAAUCUUAAUUCAAUCUAAAACUCUUAAAAAUCACUCUGUCAUUGCCUUCCUUAAAACAAACAUUAAACUUCAUAGCUGAGCGGCAUUGUUUGUUUAUAUAUACUUAUUAAUAUUUAUA